UACGUAGGGUGUAAGCGUUGUCCGGAAUUAUUGGGCGUAAAGAGCUCGUAGGCGGUCUGUCGCGUCUGCUGUGAAAACUCGGGGCUUAACCCCGGGCCUGCAGUGGGUACGGGCAGACUAGAGUGCGGUAGGGGAGACUGGAAUUCCUGGUGUAGCGGUGAAAUGCGCAGAUAUCAGGAGGAACACCGGUGGCGAAGGCGGGUCUCUGGGGUAAUGCUGACACUGAUGCGCGACAGCGUGGGGAGCAAACAGG
rnacentral:rRNA from 1 species